rnacentral:snRNA from 1 species
UCUGAAUCCUUCAGCGAAGA